GAAAGUUCAAAAUUUUCCAUAUUCAAUUGACCAAUGUGGUAACUGUUGUUUUGGAAUAUGUUCUCUAAUAACAAACUAAUCUUUUGCUGCCGCUUUGCGCGGGCCAAUUGCUAGUAUAUAUAUACCUUAAAAAACAUUUACCAUGUUUUGUUGAAUUUUAAGAGGUACAAGCCAUAACGCAAUAUACGCAAUAUGUACAAGAUGUAUCCGGUCAACUAUAGAAAACGUCAAACAACCUGAUCCAGUCAACAAAAACCCCUUAUCUUCACAUUCCCUCAUUUUUAGCUGCAAUUGAACAGUUUGGCAAUCAGUGACUGACUCCUUCAAAAUGGUAGACUCAUUCAAAGUUAUUAUUAACUUGAUAUACAAAUGAUAUAAAACCCAACGUCACUAUCAUCAAUUCACAUUAUAGCUUUGCUUGCAGGGUACACUACAAAAAAAAUGCCAAUUAGUGACGAAAAUGAAAUGGUCACUAACAAUUAAAGGAGUUGUCACUAUAUCAUUUAGUGACCAAACGUUUGGUCGUCACUUGUGGUCACUAUAGGUCCGUCACAAAAAUAGAUUAGUGACCAAAAUAUAAAAGCGGUCACUAAAUAGUGACCAAAAUAUAAUGGUCACUAAAUCUGUGACGACGAGCUUCGUCAUUAAAUGUUGUCACUAAUAAACGAAAGUCGUCACUGUUUUAUCUAAUUAGUGACCAUAAAAAGUCGUCACUCUCCUAUCUGAUUGGUGACCAUAAAAGUCGUCACUAGUUUAUCUAAUCACUGACCAUAAAAAGUUGUCACUCUCAUCUGAUUUGUGACCAUAGAAAGUCGUCACUAGCUUAUCCAACUAGUGACCACAAAAGUAGUCACUAAUUUAUCCAACUCGUUACGAAAAAAAAACAUCACUAUUUUUUGUUGCAAUUUCUUGUAUUUAACCAAUUUAAGUAACUUUAAGCGAACCUACAAUAUACAAUACUGAAAUGGCUAGAAUAUCAUAUGAAUCUUAGAACAAAGUUAAAAACAACCACCAAAAUAGAUUUCCAAAAACAGUAAGUUUUCCAAUUCUAACCCAGCUUACUCAUUUUAUAAACUAUACACAAAUAAUAGCUACAAAAUAAUGUGAUAUAGAUCCUUAUCAAGCGCUUUUGUUUGGAGGCCUUGUGACUAGCUUCCUCUAAGGCCAUUUUAAUUGACUUUUGCAUCUCUAACUGCCUACUUGCCUACAAAACAAAGACAUCAUUUAGGUUUUUUCGUUUAAUGAGAAGGGCAUUCUUGUCUUUUGCACAUGAAAUGGUGGGGGUGGGUGUUACCUCGAUUUUUGCUUGAUAAGAUUAUAUUAAGUUUUAUGCUAACCCAGAGACAAGAAACAUGCAGUGCUUUGCACGAGAGCAUGUGAAAAGAGUGUUAGACUUGGAGAAAAGGAGGAAAAAGCUUGAUUCACUGAGUAAAGAGCUUAACAAGAGGGAAGCUCUAACAGAAAGGGAGAAACAAAAGCCAAAGCCUUCACUGAUAUGGUCUAAAAGUAGAAAAUCUCAAUUUAUCAAGAAAACCUAAUUGUUCAUAUUAUUAUAUUUUGCUACAAUCUUGAGCAUAAAAAGGAUAUUCAUAUACAUAAGUGUAAAAUAACAGAAUCAUAAUACCUACCUUAAUGUCUGGUGGGAAACUGGCCACAAGAUCUAAAUCCUCAAUAAUAUCCUCAAGAUGUUUGCCUAUAAAUCCAAGACACAAGCUUACAAGAGCAGGAGGUUUUCUCUUCUCCAAAGGCGACCCUGUUACACAAACAAAACAAUUAUAAGCAAGCUGAUAGCAGCCCAAUAAAAUACACAUAUUCAAGUUCAAACUAAACCAAAAAAAACUGAAAUCCGUCAGCAACAAUCAGAAACUUCUCUUCAAAAUUUAUCUCAGCCUACUAAAUUGCGAAAUAUGAUAUUCAUCGUUUCCAUCGAAACUCGAAAGAUAAAGGAAACACAUUCAUACAUAACACGAACAUUUGGAUAUGAAUCUACAUACUCCCUUGCCCUUAUGUUCAGCUAGUGUGUUACCCUUAUAAAGAAAUUACAAGAUUUCAAGAUAACUAGCCUAAUAGAAAUUCAUGUUCACUACAGCUCUUAUGUGUAUAAACAAUUAGAAAACGAGAAUUAGUAUAUAGAAACUCAUAGGAAGAUAGCAGCAAAGGAUUAUAAUUCUUGGCCAACUUGUUAGGGUUCCUGGAAUUGAAAGUCAAAUCAAUAUUUUGAAAGGAUCUCUGUAUGGCUUCCAAACCCUUUCCUUUAUCCAUCAAAUGAUGCAAGGAAGGAGAAAUGGCAUGUUGGGAUCAUGCGAGUAUGGAGUACCUGUUUAGCGUCGAGUUUGACUCCGAGUGUAGAACAGAGGUGCGUCAAUGGGAGGGUGUGGAGGACGAUGGACCGACGACGAUGGACCGCCGACCUAUAAAAAGAAGUUGAUUGUCACUCAAUCGAUUCACUUAUCUGAUCAUGCGAGUAUGGAGUACCUGCUUGGCUUCGAGUUUGACUUCGAGUGGAGAGCAGAGGUGCGUCAAUGGGAGGGCGUGGAGCGACAAUAGACCGGCGACGACGGUCCGGCGACGAUGGGUCGGCGGCGAUCGGGCGAUGGACUGGAGAUGUGUAUCGAUUCAGGGCAAAAGAGAUGUGUUGAGUUAAUUUAGGGCACA
rnacentral:lncRNA from 1 species